UGGGGAAUAUUGGACAAUGGGGGCAACCCUGAUCCAGCAAUGCCGCGUGAGUGAAGAAGGCCUUCGGGUUGUAAAGCUCUUUUGUCAGGGAAGAAACGGUAGUAGCGAAUAACUACUACUAAUGACGGUACCUGAAGAAUAAGCACCGGCUAACUACGUGCCAGCAGCCGCGGUAAUACGUAGGGUGCAAGCGUUAAUCGGAAUUACUGGGCGUAAAGCGUGCGCAGGCGGUUGUGUAAGUCAGAUGUGAAAUCCCCGGGCUCAACCUGGGAAUUGCAUUUGAGACUGCACGGCUAGAGUGUGUCAGAGGGGGGUAGAAUUCCACGUGUAGCAGUGAAAUGCGUAGAUAUGUGGAGGAAUACCGAUGGCGAAGGCAGCCCCCUGGGAUAACACUGACGCUCAUGCACGAAAGCGUGGGGAGCAAACAGGAUUAGAUACCCCAGUAGUCCCUGAGCGGGCUGGCAAGGCGCAU
rnacentral:rRNA from 1 species